rnacentral:sRNA from 1 species
GAGGAUUGAGAAGGUGGAGAGGGCGGUUAGGAGAUUGGAGGGGAGGAGGGAGGAAUAAAAUGGGGUCUGUGUAGCCUGUCGGGGUCCGGGGAAGGGUAUAGAUACUUCUUGGAUGGUUAUUUUCUUUCUCUAUCUUUCUCGUUUGCUUUGUUGCUUGUUAUGGGUUAUGGGAGUUGGGCGGUAGUUUACAUCAUUUCUAUUUUUCCCUUUUUCUUUUACAUAUAUCUUAACCUUAUUGUUAUUGUAGAUUAUUACUCCAGAGUCCCUCGAAUGGUGGACCUAUGAAUCUCUGCAGACAGUUUAUUCGUUCAGUUAUUUAUCCUAGACAACACAGGGCGGCGUCUGCUUUU